rnacentral:rRNA from 1 species
UACAGAGGGUGCGAGCGUUAAUCGGAUUUACUGGGCGUAAAGGGCGCGUAGGUGGUAAAGCAAGUAAGAUGUGAAAUCCCUGGGCUUAACCUAGGAAGUGCAUCUUAAACUGCUUAACUAGAGUAUGGUAGAGGGUAGUGGAAUUUCCGGUGUAGCGGUGAAAUGCGUAGAGAUCGGAAGGAACGCCAGUGGUGAAGACGACUACCUGGACCAAUACUGACACUGAGGCGCGAAAGCGUGGGGAUCAAACAGG